rnacentral:rRNA from 576 species
AGAGUUUGAUCCUGGCUCAGGAUGAACGCUGGCGGCGUGCCUAAUACAUGCAAGUCGAGCGAACGGACGAGAAGCUUGCUUCUCUGAUGUUAGCGGCGGACGGGUGAGUAACACGUGGAUAACCUACCUAUAAGACUGGGAUAACUUCGGGAAACCGGAGCUAAUACCGGAUGAUAUUUUGAACCGCAUGGUUCAAAAGUGAAAGACGGUCUUGCUGUCACUUAUAGAUGGAUCCGCGCUGCAUUAGCUAGUUGGUAAGGUAACGGCUUACCAAGGCAACGAUGCAUAGCCGACCUGAGAGGGUGAUCGGCCACACUGGAACUGAGACACGGUCCAGACUCCUACGGGAGGCAGCAGUAGGGAAUCUUCCGCAAUGGGCGAAAGCCUGACGGAGCAACGCCGCGUGAGUGAUGAAGGUCUUCGGAUCGUAAAACUCUGUUAUUAGGGAAGAACAUAUGUGUAAGUAACUGUGCACAUCUUGACGGUACCUAAUCAGAAAGCCACGGCUAACUACGUGCCAGCAGCCGCGGUAAUACGUAGGUGGCAAGCGUUAUCCGGAAUUAUUGGGCGUAAAGCGCGCGUAGGCGGUUUUUUAAGUCUGAUGUGAAAGCCCACGGCUCAACCGUGGAGGGUCAUUGGAAACUGGAAAACUUGAGUGCAGAAGAGGAAAGUGGAAUUCCAUGUGUAGCGGUGAAAUGCGCAGAGAUAUGGAGGAACACCAGUGGCGAAGGCGACUUUCUGGUCUGUAACUGACGCUGAUGUGCGAAAGCGUGGGGAUCAAACAGGAUUAGAUACCCUGGUAGUCCACGCCGUAAACGAUGAGUGCUAAGUGUUAGGGGGUUUCCGCCCCUUAGUGCUGCAGCUAACGCAUUAAGCACUCCGCCUGGGGAGUACGACCGCAAGGUUGAAACUCAAAGGAAUUGACGGGGACCCGCACAAGCGGUGGAGCAUGUGGUUUAAUUCGAAGCAACGCGAAGAACCUUACCAAAUCUUGACAUCCUUUGACAACUCUAGAGAUAGAGCCUUCCCCUUCGGGGGACAAAGUGACAGGUGGUGCAUGGUUGUCGUCAGCUCGUGUCGUGAGAUGUUGGGUUAAGUCCCGCAACGAGCGCAACCCUUAAGCUUAGUUGCCAUCAUUAAGUUGGGCACUCUAAGUUGACUGCCGGUGACAAACCGGAGGAAGGUGGGGAUGACGUCAAAUCAUCAUGCCCCUUAUGAUUUGGGCUACACACGUGCUACAAUGGACAAUACAAAGGGCAGCGAAACCGCGAGGUCAAGCAAAUCCCAUAAAGUUGUUCUCAGUUCGGAUUGUAGUCUGCAACUCGACUACAUGAAGCUGGAAUCGCUAGUAAUCGUAGAUCAGCAUGCUACGGUGAAUACGUUCCCGGGUCUUGUACACACCGCCCGUCACACCACGAGAGUUUGUAACACCCGAAGCCGGUGGAGUAACCUUUUAGGAGCUAGCCGUCGAAGGUGGGACAAAUGAUUGGGGUGAAGUCGUAACAAGGUAGCCGUAUCGGAAGGUGCGGCUGGAUCACCU